GUUAUGGAAGAGGGAGACCUGCCAGGGCUGCGAGUCACGCGUGCAGCGGACACUAGACGCCUCAAGGUCCACGCGCGUGGCGUUUCCCGGGAGCAACAGCGCCUGCGCGGCUGGGUGACACACGAGCUGGUGAAUCAUAGGAGGCCCAGGCUGCAAGGGACAGGCCGCAUCACCUCGGCUAACACCCUCGUUUUGGGUGAGGAAUGGGAGGCUCAGAGAGGGCUGUGACUCAUAAGAGGUCACACAGCAAGCAAGUCCGCCUAACAACCAGAAGGUUCUAUAUAGUUCCAGCUCUGAGUUCUUCCUUGUGCCAGCGACCUCUCUCCAAGAGCUGAACAGAACGUCUGUGUUAUCCGGGGCAUCUUUUGUCCCGCUUAGCCUUGUCCAGAUUUUUUGCUACAGCGGUUAUGUUCUAGCAGCCACCAGCCACGUGCAGCUGCAGAGCAUUCGAAACAUGCCAUUUGAAGCAUGCUUUCUUGUCCUCUGACUUGAUUUUGACUAGCAGGUAUGAUACCACUCAGUACUGACCUCAGUGAACGGAAUCUGGGCAGUUUGAAGAUGAUGGUAGCCUUCUUUACUGCCUCUCACUCCAUGGUUCAGAUGCGCUCCCUCUUCUUACACUUUCGCAUGUGCAGUUUUUUCUGCAGGUAGAUGAACUGAGUGCCGGGAAGGAGCUGAACUGAGUUCUUUCCGCCCAGCCUGUAGGAGGGCUUGGUGGGUAAAGGCGCUUGCUGCCAAGCCUGCCAGCCUGUGUUUGAUCCUGGGACCUACAUGGUGGGAGGAGAGGACUGACUCCUGCAGUUUGCACACUUGCACAUGUGUACCAUGGCAUGAGCACCCUCUGAUAAAUGAAUGAGUAAAUGUGAAAAAAAUUAAGUAAUAUAAAAAGAAAAUGAACUGAGCUGUAAUGGGACAUUGCUUUGAUAGCUAAGACUGUUGCUGCGCUUUUAAAUCCUCCAAUCUUUCACUUCUCAGAUGUAUGGCUGUGAGCAAAUGCGGUCAUCUGUCUGUGCCCAUUUUCCUGUCUGGAAAGUGGACAGGAAAAGAGGACCAGUCUCCCUGGGGGUUGUGAGCAUUUAGUUGGUUAGUAACAUUUAAACCCUCUGGGGAGCUGAAGAGACUCAGAAGUUCAGAGGACUUGCUGCUCUUGCCGAGGACCUGGCUUUGGUCCCACACAGUUGUCAGGACACCUGAUGCCCUCUUCUGGACUCCUCAAGGCACUAAGCAGGCAUGUGGUGACAUACAUAUAUGCAGGCAAAGACUCAACACACAGACAUCAUUUAAAAGCCCUCUGGAUCAGGAUUUGAAUGCAAUUGACACUGAAUUAGAACCAUUUGAUCAUUUAACAAAUAUUUAUUGAAACCCUGGAAUAUGCCACGAACUUCCUUCAGGGCCAGGGACAAAACAACAAAAACCAACCAAAGCCAGUGAUGAUCAUCUUCAGAGUCACAACUCAGGUCAAGCCAGGAUUUUGUUUCAAGCCCCAAGCUGAUCAUCAGGCGCUCUCACACUCCUUGUGUUCGAUGAUGGAGACAUUGGCACAUCGCAAGGAAUGAGGCAAGCGCACUGUGGGGACAGCAGUGGAAGGUGUGAAUCUGAGCCCUGAGUCUCCAACCUCACCGCAGUGGCCAACACCUGGGACAGUCCUUGCCCUCACCCAUCUCUCUGCUGGAACUAUAGCAACAGCAACACUAGAAAACCAAAGUUCAGAGAGGUAAAGCCAUCCGCCUUAGAUCCCACAACCAGAAAGUUACAGAUUUGGGAAUCACACCUGUCACACUUCUGAGGCCCCAAAAUUCAUCUGGUCUCCAUCCCCCAAAUCCCAUAUUCCACCCUGAUCGCAUUUCCCUUGGGAGCCCCUACACUGGGGGCUGGACGUAGUGCCCCAUCCGGAAAUGAGGCAGCUGGUGCCCGCAGUGACGCAGUGUGAGGACAGGAUUGUGCUCCCCAAGGAGGAUCACGUAACGGCUGAGGUGGGAGAGAUGUGGUCAGAGGUGGAAAGGUAGGGGGACAGGGCAGGGGUCGGGAGGGAGAGAUGAUGAAUGGUACCUUGUGAAACCCAGCCCCACCCCACUUCCA